UACAGGAGGUCCCAAGCGUUGUUCGGAUUCAUCUGGGACGGUAAAGGGUGCGCAGGUGGUCGGGUAAGUCUGGACGAUGAAAUCCCCGGCAGACUUAACUGCGGAAUGGCAUUGGAUACUAUUCGGCUAGAGGGUUGGAGGGGGGACGUGGAAUUCUCGGUGUAGCAGUGAAAUGCGUAGAUAUCGAGAGGAACACCAGUGGCGAAGGCGAGUCCCUGGACAACACCUGACACUGAGGCACGAAAGCUAGGGGAGCAAACAGG
rnacentral:rRNA from 1 species